UAUAACAUGUACCGUAUCUCUCUGUCAUUUGUGCCUAAGACCCUGUACUUUUUGACCCAAUUUGACUUUGAGCAACUUUAAAAAUUUAUUAAAUCUUGAUUUAAUAACUUUAAAAGUGAAAAUUGUCUUUUGACAAAAUAGUAGCUUUAGCAUAAUUUGACGUACAAUAUGUGUGAGAAAUUUUGUCACUUUUGGGAAAAUUGUUGGCCCAGUUUGAGGUUAAAUUUACCAGAUUUCAUGUGAGAAAUGUUUAGCUCACUUUGAUGUAAAAGCUACUCAGUUUUGAACAUUGAAGAGAGUAAAACUGACAUUGAUCGAAAAAUAAAUUUUAAAUUGUCACAUUGUUUAGUUGGGGCAAGCUUGGGCAAGCUCCACUGUAGCAGGAGUCUUCUGUAUGUAUGUAUGCGUACGUCUGCAGUCAUGCCCAUCUUCUGGUCACACCCCAUGUGUGCACUACUAUCUAUUUAUCGGUCAAUGAUCUAAUGCGGUAGCUCGUUCUAGUGAAAUAUUGUAAAAACACAUGUGCAUGUAUGAAGCAAGAAAAAAUCUCAAGAUCAACCUCAACGACUUAGCUUGAAUGAAAAGGAUGCUCUUCUUGCUCAGCUCAGAUGGUUAUGAUUGCGUCCCAGACUCAAGAUUUAACUAGAAAAGCAGCCUAGCUAGCAGCAGAGAAGAGAAGUGGGAGGAGUUGUUGUAUGCUAGACCACUCCCUGAUGCUCAUAAAGACAACAUACAUGUAAAGGUUGUUUGUUUGUCAUAAAGACAACAUACAUGUAAAGGUUGUUUGUUUGUUAAUUUACUUGUUUGUGUAGGGUUAAUUGUCUUGUUAACUUGAUAAACCUGGGCGAGCUAACAGUAAAUAUACUAUCAUUUUAUUAAUGUUAGGUUUUAUUGAUUAUUAUUAAUAUAACCACUAAAUAAUUAGCUAUUAUUAUUGUUAAUUUCAGGAUGUUUAGUUGUUGUUCAAGUUUUAUAAUUUAGAGUUGGGAAUGAUGACUACAUCAUAUCAGUAGUGGAUAAAUCCAUUGAGUUUAUAAACAGUUUAAAUGAUGAGUUACUUAAGAAGGAGGCAACCACUGACUCAAGGAGUGAGACCUUCUCUUCAAUAAUGAAAUGAUGGUAUUGAUCUGUUGGUCAAUCAGCCUCCUUUAAGGAACAACUGCUUUCUUUACAGUACUUUAAAGAACUUCAAAGUACUUACAAGCACUGAAGUACCGGCCACUACCACCAAGCACUUUGUGAAGUACUUAAGAAUAAGUACAAGUACAGCAAGUUAAUGUAAAAUACUCUGUAAAGUACUCCUCUCCUCUACUCAUACAAGUACUCUGAACACUGUACUUAAGUAUUAAUGUACCUCACCCCAUCCCUGGUUAAUAAUAGGGGGCCUCCCUCUCAUUAAGGAGGGGGAAGGGGGUAAUGGUGUCUCCCUCUUGUUUUGGUUAAUUUGUUCUCUGUUGUAGGCUAAGAUUGUUUGACAGUGGUGUUCUAGUAGUAGAGUCACUCAGCUUGAAAGAAGAAGUCAUUAUUGAAGAGACAGUAAAAAUGGUUAGUUAUAAAGUACUGUCUAGACAUUAGUUAUAAAGAUGCUAUAUAUAAAUGCAUGUAUGUAUUUAUACUAUCAUUAGUUUGUAGGUACAGGAUAAUGGUAGUCUGACAGCACAGGAGCUAUCUAAUCAUGCUGGUGUAUCCAUAAUGUUGGCAACUGAACAGUAUGCCGCCUAUGUGGAGGCUGUCCAGUUAUUACAAGAGAAGAUGGAUGGCUCUCCUACCAGAAGAGACAUUGUCACUAUGAUGCAGUUAAUUAUGCAUGCGCAUGUACAUGUAGCUAGAGGAGUCAAUCAUAGGUGUACAAUGUACAUACCGUAUAUGGAGCGCCAAAGUGGACAAAAUUCCUGAUCCAUGAUAUACAUAUGGAGAGGUAAUUAUGGCGAUACGCAAAGCGCAUCGCCUCAUUAAUGCAUUGAUUUCAUGAUCAAUUUUUGAAUCGAUUAUCUACACGUCACUAAUGGCAAUGCAUGUAUUAUGCAUAAUUAAUGACCUAUCAUCAGGCCACGCCUAUUGUGAGCGUGCCUUGUCUUGAGAAACAAGAUGGCGUCGAUGUUUUCAAAACAGUUGUACUUGAAGUUACUUACAUUAUGUAGUUUCUUAGCUGUGUGAGAACCUGAAACACUCAUUUAGAGGUUUUUCAUUCAUUAAACUGAACCCGAGAUAGUCAAAUGGUUACUUGGUUAGCCCUGAAAGGCCGGAAUUGUUAAACUGUAAGGAGUUGUUCCAAGUCAGAAGACUAUAGUACCAUACCAAGCAAAAGGAAAAGAACACAACCAAAAGAAGUGAAAAGGAUUAAAGAAUGCAAAGAUGUCAUUGAUUCACUACAAUUUGACAGUGAAGCAACUGAAUCAAGGUUAUAGGAUAGACUGGGAAAGCCCAAUGGCAAUGAGUGCCAAUGAAAUUGUUCUGCCCGCUAUACUGUGUCUUAUUACCGAUGAGCAGCUUUUGCAGCAAUACUGGUUUCAGUGUACAUUGUUUGUGAAUGCUUUAUAAUUUAAUAAAUUAUGUUUCUGUCUCUUUCAAGCUUAGGAUUUACACUACUGACAUCAAGCCUUUCAUUCAAAUAAGGUGAAGUUCAAGGCAGACAAGAACACAUGUGUAUAAUAACAUUUAUGAUUGCUGUGCUUUACUAAUUAUGACUAAAAUUAUUACUAAAAAUACCUUUACUAAUGCAGCACAUGACAA
rnacentral:lncRNA from 1 species